rnacentral:rRNA from 1 species
GCGAACGGGUGCGUAACACGUGAGCAACCUGCCUUCGAGUGGGGGAUAGCCGGCCCAACGGCCGGGUAAUACCGCAUACGCUCUUCUGGUGGCAUCACUGGGAGAGGAAACGUUUACGGCUCGGAGGGGGGCUCGCGGCCUAUCAGCUAGUUGGUGGGGUCACGGCUUACCAAGGCAACGACGGGUAGCUGGUCUGAGAGGAUGGCCAGCCACAUUGGGACUGAGAAACGGCCCAGACUCCUACGGGAGGCAGCAGUGGGGAAUCUUGCGCAAUGGCCGAGAGGCUGACGCAGCGACGCCGCGUGGGGGAUGAAGCAUUUCGGUGUGUAAACCCCUGUUGCUCGGGACGAACGAACCUUUUCGAGGGGUGUGACGGUA